rnacentral:rRNA from 1 species
GGCCUGCUUCCCAAUUUUAAUUGAACUCUUUUGACCUCAAAUCGGGUGAGACUACCCGCUGAACUUAAGCAUAUCAAUAAGCGGAGGAAAAGAAACUAACGAGGAUUCCCCUAGUAACUGCGAGUGAAGCGGGAAAAGCUCAAAUUUAAAAUCUGAUGGCCUUUGACCAUCCGAGUUGUAAUUUAGAGAAGCGUUUUCCGCGCCAGACCGUGCAAAAGUCUCCUGGAAUGGAGCGUCAUAGAGGGUGAGAAUCCCGUCUUUAGCAUGGAUGCUUGGUGCUUUUGUGAUGCGCUCUCAAAGAGUCGAGUUGUUUGGGAAUGCAGCUCAAAAUGGGUGGUGAACUCCAUCUAAAGCUAAAUAUUGGCGAGAGACCGAUAGCGAACAAGUACCGUGAGGGAAAGAUGAAAAGCACUUUGGAAAGAGAGUGAAACAGUACGUGAAAUUGUUGAAAGGGAAACGCUUGAAGUCAGUCGCGUCGACCAAGACUCAGCCCUUGCCCCCUUGGCUUGGUGUUCUUCUUGGCUGACGGGCCAGCAUCAAUUUCGUCUCUCGGAUAAUGACAGGAGAAAGGUGGCACCUUUGCGGGUGUGUUAUAGUCUCCUGUCGCGUGUGAGGGAUGGGAUUGAGGCACUCAGCACGCUCUUGUAGUCGGGGCUUUGGCCCACGUUACGUGCU